rnacentral:rRNA from 1 species
AUGCUGCGCCCUGCAGCCGUCGCCUCCUCGUCGCUCCUCUUCCGUGGCGUCGGGGGCGCCAGGGGCAUGGAGCGGCGGCCGGGGGCCGUUGGGUACUCCCCCGCACGGGGCGGCUGCGGGUCCGGGGACCGGGCGCCCACGGAGAUGGCGCCGCUGUUCUCGGGCUGCGACUACGAGCACUGGCUGAUCGUCAUGGACAGGCCCGGCGGCGAGGGCGCCUCCAAGCACGAGGUGAUCGACUGCUACAUCCACACCCUCGCCAAGGUCCUCGGAAGUGGCAAGGAGGAGGCCAAGAGGAAGAUUUACAACGUCUCAUGCAAGCGCUACUUCGGGUUCGGGUGCGAGAUUGACGAGGAGACGGCCAUCAAGCUUGAAUGUUUUCGUGUUAUCCACAUGGAUUCCUGGUGUUCUCUUUGUGCUCCCUGA